rnacentral:rRNA from 1 species
GAUGAACGCUGGCGGCGUGCCUAAUACAUGCAAGUCGAGCGAACAGAUGAUGAGCUUGCUGCUCUGUCGUUAGCGGCGGACGGGUGAGUAACACGUGUAUCACCUACCUAUAAGUCUGGUAUAACUUCGGGAAUCCGGCGCAAAUCCCGUAUAAUCUCUUGAACCGCAUGGUUCAUUGGUGAAAUACGGUUUUUCUGUCUCUUAUCGAUGGAUCCGCGCCGCAUUAGCUAGUUGGUAAGGUAACGGCUUACCAAGGCAACGAUGCGUAGCCGACCUGAGAGAGUGAUCGGCCACACGAGAACUGAGACACGGUCCAGACUCCUACGGGACGCAGCAGAAGGGAAUCUUCCGCAAUAGGCGAAAGCCUGACGGAGCAAGGCCGAGUGAGUGAUGAAGGUCUUCGGAUCGUAAAACUCUGUUAUUAGUGAAGAACAAAUGUGUAAGGAACUAUGCACGUAUUGACGGUACCGAAUCAGAAAGCAACGGCUAACUACGUG